rnacentral:rRNA from 1 species
CCUACGGGAGGCAGCAGUGGAGAAUAUUGCACAAUGGGGGAAACUCUGAUGCAGCAACGCCGCGUGAGUGAAGAAGUAUUUAGGUAUGUAAAGCUCUCUCAGCAGGGAAGAAAAUGCCGGUACCUGAGUAAGAAGCACAGGCUAACUACGUGCCAGCAGCCGCGGUAAUACGUAGGCGGCAAGCGUUAUCCGGAUUUACUGGGUGUAAAGGGAGUGUAGACGGUGGGACAAGUCUGAAGUGAAAGCCCGGGGCUCAACCUCGGGACUGCUUUGGAAACUGCGUGACUGGAGUGCUGGUGAGGCAAGCGGAAUUCCUGGUGUAGCGGUGAAAUGCGUAGAGAUUAGGAAGAACACCAGUGGCGAAGGCAGCUUGCUGGACAGUAACUGACGUUGAGGCUCGAAAGCGUGGGGAGCAAACAGGAUUAGAUACCCUGGUAGUC